UGUGAGAUUUUUUGUGUGUGUAUUAUCCAUGCGAUGGAGGGAUCUAUUUCACCUCUCUUCGAUGAUUACAUAAAUGGCAUCGCUUGAUGAAACCUUAGAAAUGACUUUUCGAGUAUAUAUAUGAUCUUUCAUGUGUAUGUGGUUAUAUUUUGAGGUUAUGAUUGAUAUUCGAGUGUAUAUAUGUUCUUUUGAGAGUAUGUGGUUAUACGUUGAGGUUGUAAAUGAUAUUCGAGUGAAAUUAAGAAAUCCGAUCAGAAACAUGUG
rnacentral:lncRNA from 1 species